rnacentral:rRNA from 1 species
AUGGCUCAGGAUGAACGCUAGCUACAGGCUAACACAUGCAAGUCGAGGGGUAGCAGGGUAGCAAUACCGCUGACGACCGGCGCACGGGUGAGUAACACGUAUCCAACCUUCCCAUAACUCAGGGAUAGCCUUUCGAAAGAAAGAUUAAUACCUGAUAGUACUUUUUCAAGGCAUCUUGAGAAAGUUAAAGAUUUAUUGGUUAUGGAUGGGGAUGCGUUCCAUUAGAUAGUUGGUGAGGUAACGGCUCACCAAGUCUUCGAUGGAUAGGGGUUCUGAGAGGAAGGUCCCCCACAUUGGUACUGAGACACGGACCAAACUCCUACGGGAGGCAGCAGUGAGGAAUAUUGGUCAAUGGGCGAGAGCCUGAACCAGCCAAGUAGCGUGAAGGAUGAAGGUCCUAUGGAUUGUAAACUUCUUUUAUAGUAGAAUAAAGUGAUCCACGUGUGGAUUUUUGUAUGUAUACUAUGAAUAAGGAUCGGCUAACUCCGUGCCAGCCGCAGC